rnacentral:rRNA from 1 species
UACGGAGGGUGCAAGCGUUAUCCGGAUUCACUGGGUUUAAAGGGUGCGUAGGUGGGUUUGUAAGUCAGUGGUGAAACCUCCAAGCUUAACUUGGAAACUGCCGUUGAUACUAUAAAUCUUGAAUGUUGUGGAGGUGAGCGGAAUAUGUCAUGUAGCGGUGAAAUGCUUAGAUAUGACAUAGAACACCAAUUGCGAAGGCAGCUCACUACACAAAGAUUGACACUGAGGCACGAAAGCGUGGGGAUCAAACAGG